UCCAUAUGAAUUUGACUUUUUGGGAAAAUGAGUGCAAUCUGAAAGAGCCUGACGCACGGUAUAGCUUUAACACGUUUUCCGCUGUUUUUCUCCACCUAAACGUUAACGGCCCUGUUCAAUAAGAUUCGUUGUGACGUUUGUCAGCGUGAUUCUGGCCUGUGGAAGAAAGAAAACCGUGGCAAGAAGCGAAACCCCCCUCCCCCCUAAAAACUCCAGCUAAUUCCACAAAUAUGCCGGACAUCAGUGCUGCCUGGGCCAACAACUCUGGAUUCGAACUUGCCUAAAUGUUCUUGAAACCCCUCAAAAAGAUGAUUAAAAGUCUGUGACAUGGUGAAGCACGGACAACGAACCGCACUCCAGCAGAGGUUCACGUCACGGUAUGCCUACUUGGCGUACGUCGACUAUUUUUCAGGCUACACAUGGCUGAAAAUAAAGAUGAGCAUUUUUCUUCAUGAGACAGGCAGACUAAAAGUGCAGUAUUUGUUCUUCAAUCCACAUUUGUUGACACACAUCACCCGUCAGCUCAUGUUGACUGUAAAUGGAAUGCGUGGCAUGGAGUGAUGAUAGACGCGCCCUAUCAUCAUGUUAUUGUUUUAUACAAAAAGUCACAGUCGUAGUAAAAUAUUGUCGACUUGUC